UCAGAAAGAAAACUGAGGGAGGUCGAAGACUGCUACUAUUUCCCAAAGAAUCAGAGAUGUAAGGGAUGUGGGAGAUCAGAAGUCCACCCUCCCCCCUGCCACUUUACAGAUGAGAACACAGAGGCAUCAAAAGAUCAAGUGACUUACCCAGAGUUACACAGAGGAAAGAAAGCAACAAAUAGAAAUACUUAACUUUAUAAGUUGGAAAGAGGAGAAAAAAAGAAGAAGAAGAUGCCUUCCACUGUCUGUAAAACAGGAAAUUCUGAGGUAUCUGCAUUUUCUUUAAGCAUUAAACUUUCCUAGAGGAUAGGGGAGUAGGUUGGAGAGGGGAGUCAUCAUUCAAUGAUUGAGCUAAGUAAAUUGUAUGAUGACAC